rnacentral:lncRNA from 1 species
CAAUAGUAUAUUCACCUGUUAGCUAUUACCUUAUCUGUACGUUCCGCAUUUGACAGGCGCACCACCAAACGGUGUAUUUAGGAUUUUGCUAUAUACACGGGUCAUAAUCAAAGGGCUGACACUACUAAAUUCAAUCAUUGUCAAAUUGUUCCCUAUUGUAGCUUUAUUCAGCAAUCAGCAAGACUUUCUAAGAUAACUAAUAUAAGACAAUGCUGUUGAUUAAAAAAUACCCCAUUCCUGGAUAGCCU